GUUUGUUCAUUAACACAAAUACUGAAAUUAGAAUGAUAAAGAGAAGAUCAGCAUGGGUCCUAUAGAAGGAUGAUAUGAAAAUCUGUGAAGCAUUACAUAUUUUA